GUGCUCGCUUUGGCAGCACAUAUACUAAAAUUGGAAUGAUACAGAGAAGAUUAGCAUGGCCCCUGUGCAAGGAUGACUCGAAAGAAAACAAAGAAAUCUGAUUGGCU